rnacentral:rRNA from 1 species
GAGUUUGAUUCUGGCUCAGAUUGAACGCUGGCGGCGUGCUUAACACAUGCAAGUCGAACGUGAAAGGGGCUUCGGCCCCGAGUAAAGUGGCGCACGGGUGAGUAACGCGUGGACAAUCUGCCCUUAUGAGUGGGAUAACAGUUGGAAACGGCUGCUAAUACCGCAUACGCUCAGGAAUGACUUUUUGAGGAAAGGCGGCCUCUGCUUGCAAGCUGUCGCAUAAGGAUGAGUCCGCGUCCCAUUAGCUUGUUGGUGGGGUAACGGCCUACCAAGGCAACGAUGGGUAGCCGAUUUGAGAGGAUGAUCGGCCACACUGGAACUGAAACACGGUCCAGACUCCUUCGGGAGGCAGCAGUGGGGAAUAUUGCGCAAUGGGCGAAACGCCUGACGCAGCGACGCCGCGUGAGGGAUGAAGGUUUU